GUGGAGAAGCAAACACAGGUGGCGCUUGGGAGGGUGAGCCGGCUGGCUGGAGUGUUUUGGCCGCCCUGGUCAGUCUUGCCCCGCACUCUGGUAAUAAGUGUUUCCGUAUUCCCGGCAGCUUCUCCCUGUACCAAGCACCGCCACGCAGCACCAGAGAGCCAUGAGUACGUAAGGUGAGCCCAGCGGUGCCACGCAGCACCAGAGAGCCAUGAGUACGUAAGGGGUCAAUUUCAAAAUGAAAUACGUUACGUACGUAAGCCAGCGGCCGGGGGCUCUCGCCUGUGACGUCAUCAACAGACUGGGACUUCUCCGGCUUCAGUGUCUCUUGGUCAAUAUUUACCGUAAUUUCCAGUGUUUUCCAAGUAUUUCCAGCUGUUUAUAAACUCAGGUACAUAUUUCUGGAGUUCAAGGACAGGGCAGCAGCAGAGGAGGCAGUGAGGCAGAGGAACAAUUAUAAGCUAGACAAGCAGCACACGUUUCUCUGUAAUCUCUUCAUGGACUGAGAAAUAUGACAACAUACCUGAGGAGUUUGUCGCACCUGUCCCCGAGCCUUAUAAGGCAUGCAAGAAGAUGCAAACCAUUGCCAUGUGACAACAGCUGAGUUUGAUGACUUGUAUAAGAAUGUAUGGGCUGCACCAGGCACAAGCAAGAAGCAGCAGUGGUCUGUAUUUCAUUACAUGUCAGUGGCGGGACAUCCACAAGAUCCUGGAAGAGAACUUGUCCUCUUGAAUACAAAUUGGUGAUUGUAUUGAAUGUAUCACUUACAAUUAUUAGUAAGGUAUUGGGAAGUUGACAGUUUUCUAAGGAAUUUUUAGUUUAAAUGUGUAAAGUCUAGCUGCUUUAAAGUUGUAGAUUUAGCCUACAAGUUUUCCUAGUUGAAAAGGAUGUGUAACCAGUAAGAAUACAGUACUUACAGAUUCAGGGAGGAGAUCUUUGUGUUCUUUACUUGGUCUUGCACAUAUGUGGGUGGGCUUUGAGACUAGUGGUAUUCCUAUCUUCAGUAUCUUAAGAUAUUUUGUAUGUACCUUCAUAUGUAAUUUUCUCUCCAUCUCUUGUUGAUGUGUAGUUAGUGUUCUCAGAAGCCUUUAAGCUAGUGGAUUCUACUCUUACUAUUCAAUCUCAUUAUUUGGCAGUGAGAUCAGAUGUCUUAUCUUGGGAGAAAUUACCGGAUUCAAGAGAUGCUAUUGAAUUCUGAACUUUUAUUUUUUCAAAAUCUUUCAACAGGGUAAAGUUGUAAUGGUUUGGUCAUCUGGUGAAAAGAAAUGAGAAAUUGGACCUUAGAGGACACUUUAUCAGAACAUUGAGAACAUGUUUUAUGAGAUGUAAUGGAGCUGGACCCCAUGGUGUGUUGUGUCAGGUGGCCUCUGUGAUUUGAUGUCAGUUCAUCCAGACCUGAACCAAGCAACAGGAUGCAGGAGCCAUAGUGAGUUGGGACACCAGGCACUGAUGCCUGCUACUCUGGUCACAACUGUGUGUUGUACUGCAUCUACUACAUCCAGUCCCAUCAAAAACUAAAUGUUGCCUGUGCAUUCUCAUCCAACACUGCACAGGCAAUAAAUUAAUUUUUGGUGGGACUGAAUUAAGAUACACAAGAUGGAAAAAAAAUUAAUUGAAUGCAAGAGUAGCAUAGCAGUCAUCAUUGCUUGUGUCCCAACUUAAAAGGCUUUUUGGCUGGAGGAACAGACAUCAGAAAUGUAAUCAGUGCAUAGAAGAAAUCAAUUUGCAUUGAGGCCACCAACCUUCACAUAAUUAUAAAUCCAUGUCUCAAGUUUAUUGCAAUGAAUAAAUUCAUACAGGAGUGUAUACCAGCCACUUUCCACAGUCUGGCUUUGUCUACAGCUGUUGAUGGCAGGGCCAUGUGUUGGUGUGGAGACUGCUUGAAUAUAUGCUCUGCAGGCAGCAGCAGCUCUUGUGGUGGAGACUGCUGGAAUGCAGCACCUCUGAUGUGGUGGAGACUGCUUGAAUACGCUCUGCAAGCAGCAUGGUGUGGUAUCAGUGUUUUGUCAAACAGCCACCUGGAAUGGUGUAAGGCCUGGAAUCACAAACCAUACAAUAAAUAUUUCCUUAACUAAAA